rnacentral:rRNA from 1 species
GGUAUGGUUCCUUAUAUCGUNCCCACACUUACUUGGAUAACUGUGGUAAUUCUAGANCUAAUACAUGCAAACAGAACUCCGACCAGAGAUGGAAGGAGUGCUUUUAUUANAUCAAAACCAAUCGGUGGCGGGCUUGCUCGUCAUCGUACAACUUGGUGACUCUGAAUAACUUUACGCUGAUCGCACGGUCUUAGCACCGGCGACGCAUCUUUCAAAUGUCUGCCUUAUCAACUGUCGAUGGUAGGUUCUGCGCCUACCAUGGUUGUAACGGGUAACGGGGAAUCAGGGUUCGAUUCCGGAGAGGGAGCCUGAGAAACGGCUACCACAUCCAAGGAAGGCAGCAGGCGCGCAAAUUACCCACUCCCGGCACGGGGAGGUAGUGACGAAAAAUAACGAUACGGGACUCAUCCGAGGCCCCGUAAUCGGAAUGAGUACACUCUAAACCCUUUAACGAGGAUCAAUUGGAGGGCAAGUCUGGUGCCAGCAGCCGCGGUAAUUCCAGCUCCAAUAGCGUAUAUUAAAGUUGUUGCGGUUAAAAAGCUCGUAGUCGAAUUUGUGUCUCUUGCNGCCGGUUUAUCGUUCGCGGUAUUUACUGGCGAGUCACGAGACGUCCUGCCGGUGGGCUUAGACUCGCAAGGGCGGCCCAACUCAAUCCUGCCGCGGUGCUCUUCAUUGAGUGUCGAGGUGGGCCGGCACGUUUACUUUGAACAAAUUAGAGUGCUUAAAGCAGGCUAAAACUUCGCCUGAAUACUGUGUGCAUGGAAUAAUGGAAUAGGACCUCGGUUUUAUUUUNNNGGUUUUNGGAACCCCGAGGUAAUGACGAAUAGAAGCNNNNNNNNNNNNNNNNNNNNNNNNNNNNNNNNNNNNNNNNNNNNNNNNNNNNNNNNNNNNNNNNNNNNNNNNCAUUUGCCAAAAACGCUUUCAUUGAUCAAGAACGAAAGUUAUAGGUUCGAGGCGAUCAGAUACCGCCCUAGUUCUAACCUUAAACGAUGCCAGCUAGCGAUCCGUCGACGUUCCUCCGAUGACUCGACGGGCAGCUUCCGGGAAACCAAAGCUUUUGGGUUCCGGGGGAAGUAUGGUUGCAAAGCUGAAACUUAAAGGAAUUGACGGAAGGGCACCACCAGGAGUGGAGCCUGCGGCUUAAUUUGACUCAACACGGGAAAUCUCACCAGGCCCGGACACCGGAAGGAUUGACAGAUUGAGAGCUCUUUCUUGAUUCGGUGGGUGGUGGUGCAUGGUCGUUCUUAGUUGGUGGAGCGAUUUGUCUGGUUAAUUCCGAUAACGAACGAGACUCUAGCCUGCUAAAUAGGCGUAUUUUGACAUCCUAAAGGCCCGCCGGCUUGGGGUUCGCUCCUUGUCGUGCGCGGUUUUUACUGUCGGCGUACAAACAAUUCUUCUUAGAGGGACAGGUGGCUUCUAGUCGCACGAGAUUGAGCAAUAACAGAUCUGUAAUGCCCUUAGAUGUUCUGGGCCGCACGCGCGCUACACUGAAGGAAUCAGCGUGUCCUCCCUGGCCGAGUGGCCCGGGUAACCCGCUGAACCUCCUUCGUGCUAGGGAUUGGGGCUUGCAAUUGUUCCCCAUGAACGAGGAAUGCCCAGUAAGCGCGAAUCAUAAGCUCGCGUUGAUUACGUCCCUGCCCUUUGUACACACCGCCCGUCCNC